rnacentral:lncRNA from 1 species
UGAUGUACUGUCAAGAACUGAAACAUCAGAUCAAGGCCUGACUCUACCCUCAAGUGUCUCCCUCGCUUUGAAGAAGGCCCUUGACCUGCCCAUGCCUCGGUUUCCUCCCUUGAAAAGUUGAACAUUUUCCUGGUAACCAGGCAGAUGAUAUGCUAAUGUAAAUUGGCAGACUUGAACUCAAACUACAAAAAUACGAUCUGCCUCGUGGAAGAAACAAGGGACCAAAGAGACUUCAAGGUCGUCUUCUGGAUUUCUCUUGAAAUUCACACACACUUAGACCUUCUUGAGGUGACUCUUGCCACUGCAUCACGAGUUGCACAGGUGCCAUCAGUGCUCUGAAGUCAAGCCUUCCUUGGACCUGGACAACUGAAUUAAUAAUAACUCACUUCAUCAUUUGAAGUGAGCCACAGUGAACAACACAAACCACAGGAAUUGUGACUGCAAACUGGAGAAUCAAGCGUCCAAAGACUCCUCUUACACAGCUAAGAGGAGGUGAGCAUCUCUCUCUUCUCUUUUGAUUUUAUUUCCCAUCACCCUAUUGCUUAUAAAACCAUUGUAAUUUACCAACAUGCUGGGAAUACAUUAGUGAUUCACCAGAAGGCUCAACUGGACCACAAGGACAU